UUUAUUUCUGACAAACUACAUAGGCCCAGGAUGCGACAUUCUGCCGAGUCCGCUUCCUCCAUAUUCUUUCACCUGUUUGCUUAUUCCAGUGUGUGUGCAUUCUUUGAGCAGUUUUUCAGCAACCUUAUUCUUUUCUUUUGAGCGUGGAUCCUGUCAAGUACGACGGACGUGUGGGGUGCUAAUACCUUCCCCUUGCGUAACCGACUCCCGUACCCUGCAAUCUCUGGUCG
rnacentral:lncRNA from 1 species